rnacentral:rRNA from 1 species
GAUCCUGGGCUCAGGAUGAACGCUAGCGACAGGCUUAACACAUGCAAGUCGAGGGGCAGCGGGGAGUAGCAAUACUCUGCCGGCGACCGGCGCACGGGUGAGUAACGCGUAUGCAACUUGCCUAUCAGAGGAGAAUAGCUCAUCGAAAGAUGAAUUAAUGCUCCAUGAAACAGGGGUCCCGCAUGGGAAUAUUUGUUAAAGAUUCAUCGCUGAUAGAUAGG